rnacentral:rRNA from 1 species
GUGCACGCUGGCGGUAGGCCUAACCCAUGCAAGUCGAACGGCAGCACCGUAAGCGCUUGCUCUUACGGGUGGCGAGUGGCGGACGGGUGAGGAAUACAUCGGAAUCUACUUUUUCGUGGGGGAUAACGUAGGGAAACUUACGCUAAUACCGCAUACGACCUACGGGUGAAAGCAGGGGAUCUUCGGACCUUGCGCGAUUGAAUGAGCCGAUGUCGGAUUAGCUAGUUGGCGGGGUAAAGGCCCACCAAGGCGACGAUCCGUAGCUGGUCUGAGAGGAUGAUCAGCCACACUGGAACUGAGACACGGUCCAGACUCCUACGGGAGGCAGCAGUGGGGAAUAUUGGACAAUGGGCGCAAGCCUGAUCCAGCCAUACCGCGUGGGUGAAGAAGGCCUUCGGGUUGUAAAGCCCUUUUGUUGGGAAAGAAAAGCAGCAGGUUAAUACCCCGCUGUUCCGACGGUACCCAAAGAAUAAGCACCGGCUAACUUCGUG